rnacentral:lncRNA from 1 species
AGCUCACAGCUGCACUCUUCUCUAGAGAAUUGUUCUCAGCUGACGGGAGCCACCUCAUCCAGCGAUGCCUAAGAGGUUAUGUACCCGCCAACACAGCCAAUGACUGAUUGGUAUGAAAGAGCAAAAGACCAACUCCUUUGCCUCAAGGGAGACAACUCUGUGGUGCCAUCUUUGCUCUAGAGCUCUCGGUGGAAUCAAGCUGAUGGGAGCCUUCUGCUGACACCACCUCUUUGCUUAGCUGCUUCUCCUGCCUUUCCCGUUUGCUUCACUUCCUUCCUUUGAGGUUCCUCCUGAGAACACUCCCUCAGUAAGAAUCCCUGCCUCGUUCUCUGCUUCUGGGUCACUCUACCUAAGAGUAAUUUUUGCUAAAGAAAUUGAGAGUAAGGAGAUAGCAUGUCAGCUUUGAAGUCUGGAAGAAGGCUCUAUGGAAAUUAUUUAAUGAUCUUGGCCUUGAGGAGAAGCUGAGAUUUGAUGGACAGUGGAAAAGAAGAAAGGCCUCCCAGGUCGUGAUAAUAAGAUGGCAUGAAGAUGGCAGCCAAAGGACCGCGUCUUCCAAGGACUCUAUUAUACUACUCAUGCUCAACUAUCACCUAUUUCGGAAGAAACCUACUCAACUGCCUAAUCGCCUUCAGGGUCCAGAAGGUAAAGAAUUCUGAUAAAAUCACUUUGGUUUCCUGAAGAACUCUUUCAGGGGAUUCAACCCCGAAUUUCUCAAGGCUGGAGUCAACACCCACAUCCCCGUUCUACCAUCUUAAGUUGUGGAGACCUGUCCUGUGGUCUGGUGGCUGUGGUGAUGUGGCAGACCCCAGCACAGUGCAUAUAUUCCUCCAGCCUCCUAUCUGCUUUACCUGAGGUAGAAGAAUAUGAAAUCUUUUCAUCUGCCUUCCAACAGAGAGACCCCCUGUUUUUCCAGCCGUUUUAGCUGUCAUUCUCUGAGCACUUUCCAGAGCCAAUAUGAAUUUUUCGAGAGGCUUCAGAAUCAGAAUUGCAAAUGCUUUUCUCAGCAUGGUUAUGCAGGGAUUUUCUACAGCGUUCCCUGUUGUUUCCACUGCCUUUCUUUCUUGACAAGUCCCACUGCUUGGCCAGCCUUAAAAGACUAUCACGAGAUUGUUUGAUGGAGACCACUUUGUACGAGUUACCUAAUCAGCUCAAUUCCCCUUCCUCAUAGCUUGUUCUAAAGAACAAGCUAUGCAACUCCUUUUAGCCAUUCUUUUCCUUCUGCAAGACACCAGACUUCCAAGAUGAAAAUGGAAAACAUUCAGAUGUUUCUAAAUCAUAGAAUCCCAGAAUAGAACUCAAAGGGUCAUUAGAUAUAAUCUUGUCCAACCCCCCCCCCAUUUCAUAAAUGGGGGAACUGAGACUCAGACUAAGCAAGGACUGCAACUUAAAUCUCCCACCUUCCAUGCCAGCCCCCUUUCCAUUUCAUCUGUGUGCAGGAGAGAUAUUAAAACUAUUUAAUGGCUAUAUAUACUCCAGGCACGAGACUAAAGACUUACCAGAGUAUUGGGGUAGCUCCUGAGGGCACCCUGCUGAGAUGAACAAUAGCUCUCUAUUUGCUGGGUCAAGGAGGGGUGUUUGGGGUUCUGGGGGGUGGACAGAGGUGACUGGGGUUGCGGGUAGGCGGGCUUGUGGAGCUCAGAGCAACAUCUCUUCACCAACUAAUAGGAAAGUAUUUCAAUACAUUAACAACUGGGACAGUCAUCCCAGUGUGUCCCAGUUGUCUAGAACUUGUGUCUAUAUAGUUCUUGGUCUAAUUUAGACAACACUUAGGUAUUUUUUUUUUCCUCGCUGGAAUGCUUUGAUGUGUGAAGAGUCAGAAAGAGUCCCUGGCAAAGUGAUAUGCUUUCUUUCAAAA